AUUGAACGCUGGCGGCAGGCCUAACACAUGCAAGUCGAGCGGAUGAAGGGAGCUUGCUCCUGGAUUCAGCGGAGGAGGGGGGAGUAAUGCCUAGGAAGCUGCCUGGUAGUGGGGGAGAACGUCCGGAAACGGGAGAGAAUACCGCAUACGUCCGGAGGGAGAAAGUGGGGGAUCGUCGGAGGUAACGCGAUCAGAUGAGACUAGGUCGGAUUAGCUAGUUGGUGGGGGAAAGGCCUACCAAGGCGACGAUCCGUAACUGGUCUGAGAGGAUGAUCAGUCACACUGGAACUGAGACACGGUCCAGCCUCCUACGGGAGGCACCAGUGGGGAAUAUUGGACAAUGGGCGAAAGCCUGAUCCAGCCAUGCCUCGUGUGUGAAGAAGGUCUUCGGAUUGUAAAGCACUUUAAGUUGUGAGGAAGGGCACUAAGUUAAUACCUUGCUGUUUUGACGUUACCAACAGAAUAAGCACCGGCUAACUUCGUG
rnacentral:rRNA from 1 species